GCGGUGGCUUCCCUCCCUCUGAGCCCAUGGAGAGUCUCCUUGAGUUUGCAAUGGUCACCUCCUGUGACGGUUGGAGUUUGGCUGGAGCCGAAGGCAGAUUCCAGGCGCCCUUCCCUGCUUCAGAGAGAGACGGCCUUGCUUUGUGGCCCCCCCAGCGGAGUCUCUCUCUGGCUCCUGGUCAGGAGGAAUGGAGAAGCUUUUUAUAUAUAACUUCAUUAAACUUUUGAAGAAGCCAGAUGAAAACUAACCAGAACUACUGGAGUAGAGAGAGAAGGAAAAAGGAGAGAAGAAAAAGAGAAAGGCAGGAGUGCAGAAAAAGAAGAUAAAAUAAAUAUUAAACUUCUGAUUUUCUUUGACAAAUGUAAAUUGGCCUCUCACUCCUGGUUGCAGCCUUCUAUUUCUUUUCCCACCCUCAGAACUGCCUUCCUUUUGGUUGGCACAGCCGCCUCCUCCCCCCCCAGCCUGCCUGGCAUCUCUUGGGCCACCUAAGCCCCGUGAGAUGCCCGCCAUGCCUCCCCCUUUAUGCCCCCUUAGGACCAGUCGCUGGGAAAUUGGCAGAUCAAGCGCCAGAAUGGAGAAGACGCACCCAUUUGCUACAGGUUCCCUCCCAAGUUCACCUUGAAGGCCGGCCAGCUGGUCACGAUCUGGGCUGCGGGCGCAGGGGUGUCCCACAACCCCCCCCACGGACAUGGUCUGGAAGAACCAAAGCUCCUGGGGGUCCGGCGACAGCUUACGCACAGCACUGCGGCUGUAAGGCGGCUGGGAUUCGGGGGUUGGGUGGGCGCACAGCCCCACGGCGUCUUCGUUGUGUGGGUGGGCAAAGGGGGUCAACCUUGGUGCCGGAAAGGGGACAGAGCAUUAUGGAAUUAAUUAAUUCAAUUAACCUAACUCUGGAUUGCGGAAUUAACCCCCCUGUCCAGAGUAACUCUGGGUGGCUUAUAAAUACAAUAAAAGCGGAGCUAGAAAAACAGUGAGAAAUAUAGGAGGAGUUAUAAUUAACA